AUUGAACGCUGGCGGCAGGCCUAACACAUGCAAGUCGAGCGGAUGAAGGGAGCUUGCUCCUGGAUUCAGCGGCGGACGGGUGAGUAAUGCCUAGGAAUCUGCCUGGUCGUGGGGGCUAACGUCCGGAAACGGGCGCUAAUACCGCAUACGUCCUGAGGGUGAAAGUGGGGGAUCUUCGGACCUCACGCUAUCAGAUGAGCCUAGGUCGGAUUAGCUAGUUGGUGGGGUAAAGGCCUACCAAGGCGACGAUCCGUAACUGGUCUGAGAGGAUGAUCAGUCACACUGGAACUGAGACACGGUCCAGACUCCUACGGGAGGCAGCAGUGGGGAAUAUUGGACAAUGGGCGAAAGCCUGAUCCAGCCAUGCCGCGUGUGUGAAGAAGGUCUUCGGAUUGUAAAGCACUUUAAGUUGGGAGGAAGGGCAGUAAGUUAAUACCUGGCUGUUUUGACGUUACCAACAGAAUAAGCACCGGCUAACUUCGUG
rnacentral:rRNA from 1 species